CAGCUCCAUGCUGUUGCUCAGACACCAUGGGGAACAAUUGCCUGUGGGUAUCUGCAGAGAUGUAUGUCUCCACAGCCAUGUACAUGCCCCAGCCCGUGGUGCCCACUGUAGAUCCCAGUCAGCUGGCAGCACAACAGCAAGCCUUUAUCAACCAGCAAGCCAUGCUCAUGGCUCAGCAGAUGACCCUUCAAGCCAUGAACCUUUCCCAGCAACAGCAGCAGCAGCAGCAGCAGCGACAACAGUGGCGUCAACAGCCUCCUGAGAGCUCAAGGCCAAGAGCCUCAAGCCCACCACGAAGCCAAGCCCCAACCCCGGCCCCGGCCCCAGCUACCUCCCCCAAACCCAAGAGGUCUCCCAGCAACCGAGAUGUGACACCACCACCAAAGGCGCCAGAGCCACCAGCUCAGCCAGAAAGACCGGUAUGAGAAACAAGCAGUGGGUUUGGAUGUCACGUCUUGCAUUUAUUCUGCUUCCCUUUCCAGCCUGGCAUUGAUUUGGCAGAGAGGAGAGCUGAGAGUUGUGUUUGCCUUUCAAGCCCCACUUGCUGAAUCUUUAAGACACAGGGUCAGAAAUGGUUACACUGAGCUCUGUGGAGUUUUGGCUGCAGUGCAUUCACAGCUGAUCUGAAUUUCAGUGAGGUCCACAUGAAAAAUCAUCCCUUUUCAUUCUUUAUCUUUCAGCAAGUUGUUUUGGGGCUGUAAUAUACCCCUCUUUCUCCGAACUGGGUUGAUGAUUCCUUGGGUCAGAAACUGACCUCCUGGGACACUUCCAGACUAGGGCAAGUGCUGGAUCAGAGUCCAAACCUAUCUAGAGAAGAUCACUGCUGACUUUAAGGGAACUAUGGAGGUAUCUGCUGGCUGGUACUAACCAUAUUGUGAAUUGCCUGCAGAUUUAUGACUCCAGCAGUGAAGAUGAUGACUAUCCUCGGGAAACUUUCCAGCAGAAGAGAGCUUUUUUUCAGAGGAUGGGUGAGUGUUGACCACUUUGGGAAUUCUACUUAUCGUAACUCCCUGUUCUGCAUCCUCCCAGGUGCAACAACUGGGUUGGGCAUCCAAGGCCAGGCUGAGUGGGGCCAUGGGCAGCCCC
rnacentral:lncRNA from 1 species